rnacentral:lncRNA from 1 species
UAUAUCAGCACUCAGGUUGUUUUUCUACUUUAAGUUUGGUAGCCUCCUGCCUCCCACCACAAAAUGGACCCUGGGACAGACAAAGGACAUGAGUGGAAAACUGCUGAAGACAGAGAUCUGGAGUUCAUGGGGAGGCACCGGGGCUAACCAAUGCUCCACACAAUGACCAAGACGGUAGCCUUAGGGAAGCUGGGGGAGCACAGGUGGACCCUCUGAUGUGGCUGAAGAACCAGGCCUGGUGCUUCCCUACCCUUUACAGACAUGCAAGCCUUCGGAUAGCCUUGUCUGCAUCCUUGGAGCAAAGCCAGUAUUUUUACAAAUGAUGGAAUACUAAGCAUAUGGAACUGCCCAGGUGGAUGAGAGCAGGUUAGGAGACCACCAAAUAUGAAUUCUCU